rnacentral:rRNA from 4 species
GAGUAAUGUCUGGGAAACUGCCUGAUGGAGGGGGAUAACUACUGGAAACGGUGGCUAAUACCGCAUAACGUCGCAAGACCAAAGAGGGGGACCUUCGGGCCUCUUGCCAUCAGAUGUGCCCAGAUGGGAUUAGCUUGUUGGUGAGGUAACGGCUCACCAAGGCGACGAUCCCUAGCUGGUCUGAGAGGAUGACCAGCCACACUGGAACUGAGACACGGUCCAGACUCCUACGGGAGGCAGCAGUGGGGAAUAUUGCACAAUGGGCGCAAGCCUGAUGCAGCCAUGCCGCGUGUAUGAAGAAGGCCUUCGGGUUGUAAAGUACUUUCAGCGGGGAGGAAGGUGUUGUGGUUAAUAACCGCAGCAAUUGACGUUACCCGCAGAAGAAGCACCGGCUAACUCCGUGCCAGCAGCCGCGGUAAUACGGAGGGUGCAAGCGUUAAUCGGAAUUACUGGGCGUAAAGCGCACGCAGGCGGUCUGUCAAGUCGGAUGUGAAAUCCCCGGGCUCAACCUGGGAACUGCAUUCGAAACUGGCAGGCUUGAGUCUUGUAGAGGGGGGUAGAAUUCCAGGUGUAGCGGUGAAAUGCGUAGAGAUCUGGAGGAAUACCGGUGGCGAAGGCGGCCCCCUGGACAAAGACUGACGCUCAGGUGCGAAAGCGUGGGGAGCAAACAGGAUUAGAUACCCUGGUAGUCCACGCCGUAAACGAUGUCUACUUGGAGGUUGUGCCCUUGAGGCGUGGCUUCCGGAGCUAACGCGUUAAGUAGACCGCCUGGGGAGUACGGCCGCAAGGUUAAAACUCAAAUGAAUUGACGGGGGCCCGCACAAGCGGUGGAGCAUGUGGUUUAAUUCGAUGCAACGCGAAGAACCUUACCUGGUCUUGACAUCCACGGAAGUUUUCAGAGAUGAGAAUGUGCCUUCGGGAACCGUGAGACAGGUGCUGCAUGGCUGUCGUCAGCUCGUGUUGUGAAAUGUUGGGUUAAGUCCCGCAACGAGCGCAACCCUUAUCCUUUGUUGCCAGCGAUUAGG